rnacentral:rRNA from 1 species
AGCAGCCGCGGUAAUUCCAGCUCCAAUAGCGUAUAUUAAAGUUGUUGCAGUUAAAAAGCUCGUAGUUGAAUUUCGGGAUUGACGUGAUGGUCAUGCCUUAAGGGGUAUGAACUGUCACAGUUGAUUUCUCACCUUCUGGAGAAACUUGAUGUCCUUUAUUGGGUGUCUUGCGGAUCCAGGACCUUUACCUUGAAAAAAUUAGAGUGUUUAAAGCAGGCAUUUUUGCUCGAAUACAUUAGCAUGGAAUAAUAGAAUAGGACGGCAUGGUUCUAUUUUGUUGGUUUCUAGGAUCACCGUAAUGAUUAAUAGGGAUAGUUGGGGGUAUUAGUAUUCAAUUGUCAGAGGUGAAAUUCUUGGAUUUAUUGAAGACUAACUACUGCGAAAGCAUUUGCCAAGGAUGUUUUCAUUAAUCAAGAACGAAAGUUAGGGGAUCGAAGACGAUCAGAUACCGUCGUAGUCUUAACCAUAAACUAUGCCGACUAGGAAUCAGACGAUGUUAAUUUUUAAUGACUCGUUU